CCUACGGGAGGCUGCAGUGAGGAAUAUUGGUCAAUGGGCGCGAGCCUGAACCAGCCAAGUCGCGUGAGGGAAGACGGCCCUACGGGUUGUAAACCUCUUUUGCCGGGGAGCAACGGGCGCCACGUGUGGCGCCACUGAGAGUACCCGGAGAAAAAGCAUCGGCUAACUCCGUGCCAGCAGCGGCGGUAAUACGGAGGAUGCGAGCGUUAUCCGGAUGUAUUGGGUUAAAAGGGUGCGUAGGCGGAGCGUUAAGUCAGUGGUCAAAUUGAGGGGCUCAACCCCUUCCCGCCAUUGAAACUGGCUCUCUUGAGUGGAAGAGAGGUAUGCGGAAUGCGUGGUGUAGCGGUGAAAUGCAUAGAUAUAACGCAGAACCCCGAUUGCGAAGGCAGCUUGCCGGCUUCCGACUGACGCUGAAGCACGAAAGCGUGGGGAUCGAACAGGAUUAGAUACCCUUGUAGUC
rnacentral:rRNA from 1 species